rnacentral:rRNA from 1 species
AACGAACGCUGGCGGCAUGCCUAACACAUGCAAGUCGAACGAGACCUUCGGGUCUAGUGGCGCACGGGUGCGUAACGCGUGGGAACCUGCCCUUAGGUUCGGAAUAACUCCCCGAAAGGGGUGCUAAUACCGCAUAAUGUCUUCGGACCAAAGAUUUAUCGCCUUUGGAUGGGCCCGCGUUGGAUUAGCUAGUUGGUAGGGUAAAAGCCUACCAAGGCGACGAUCCAUAGCUGGUCUGAGAGGAUGAUCAGCCACACUGGGACUGAGACACGGCCCAGACUCCUACGGGAGGCAGCAGUGGGGAAUAUUGGACAAUGGGCGAAAGCCUGAUCCAGCAAUGCCGCGUGAGUGAUGAAGGCCUUAGGGUUGUAAAGCUCUUUUACCCGGGAUGAUAAUGACAGUACCGGGAGAAUAAGCGCCGGCUAACUCCGUG